GACGAACGCUGGCGGCGUGCCUAAUACAUGCAAGUAGGACGCAGUCGCGAACGGGUGAGUUACGCGUAGGUAACUACCUAUUAGAGGCGGAUAACUAUUGGAAACGAUAGCUAAUACCGUAUACUAGUAGAUGGACCUGCGUUGUAUUAGCUAGUAGGUAGGGUAAUGGCCUACCUAGGCAACGAUACAUAGCCGGCCUGAGAGGAUGAUCGGCCACACUGGGACUGAGACACGGCCCAGACUCCUACGGGAGGCAGCAGUGGGGAAUCUUCGGCAAUGGGGGGAACCCUGACCGAGCAACGCCGCGUGAGUGAAGAAGGUUUUCGGGUCGUAAAGCUCUGUUGUUAAGGAAGCGGUACUUAACCAGAAGCGCCGGCUAACUACGUGCCAGCAGCCGCGGUAAUUC
rnacentral:rRNA from 1 species